UGGGGAAUAUUGGACAAUGGGCGCAAGCCUGAUCCAGCCAUGCCGCGUGAGUGAUGACGGCCUUAGGGUUGUAAAGCUCUUUCGCCAGGGACGAUAAUGACGGUACCUGGAUAAGAAGCCCCGGCUAACUUCGUGCCAGCAGCCGCGGUAAUACGAAGGGGGCUAGCGUUGUUCGGAAUUACUGGGCGUAAAGCGCGUGUAGGCGGGUCUUUAAGUCAGGGGUGAAAUGCCAAGGCUCAACCUUGGAACUGCCUUUGAUACUGGAGAUCUUGAGUCCGGGAGAGGUGAGUGGAACUGCGAGUGUAGAGGUGAAAUUCGUAGAUAUUCGCAAGAACACCAGUGGCGAAGGCGGCUCACUGGCCCGGAACUGACGCUGAGACGCGAAAGCGUGGGGAGCAAACA
rnacentral:rRNA from 1 species